UACGUAGGGGGCGAGCGUUGUCCGGAUUUACUGGGCGUAAAGGGUGAGUAGGCGGUUAUAUAUGUCAGGUGUAAAAAGCUAUGGCUUAACCAUAGUAAGCACUUGAAACUGUAUGACUUGAGUGCAGGAGAGGUAAGCGGAAUUCCUAGUGUAGCGGUGAAAUGCGUAGAUAUUAGGAGGAACACCGGUGGCGAAGGCGGCUUACUGGACUGUAACUGACGCUGAGUCACGAAAGCGUGGGUAGCAAACAGGAUUAGAUACCCCCGUAGUCCCUGAG
rnacentral:rRNA from 1 species